GGUAUUUUGACCGUGCAAAGGUAGCAUAAUCAUUAGUUUUUUAAUUGAAAGCUGGAAUGAAAGGUUGGAUGAGAAAUAAGCUGUCUCUAUUUAAUUUUAUUAGAAUUUUAUUUUUAAGUAAAAAAGCUUAAAUUUUAAUAGAAGACGAGAAGACCCUAUAGAGUUUUAUUUAUUUUUUAAAUAGAAUUAGUAGUAUAAAUUAUUUUUAUUUAUAAAAUGAAUUUAAUUGGGGUGAUUGAAAAAUUUAAUAAACUUUUUUUAUAUAUAUACAUUGAUAUAUGAUUAAUUGAUCCUUUAUUUGAGAUUAAAAGAUAAAAUUACCUUAGGGAUAACAGCGUAAUUUUUUUUGAGAGUUCUAAUCGAAAAAAAAGAUUGCGACCUCGAUGUUGGAUUAAAAUAAAAUUUUGGUGUAGAAGCUGAAA
rnacentral:rRNA from 1 species